CUGCAACCCAGAAACAAAAAGAGGUCCAUUGUGAUCGGCCACGAAGGGCCCUGGGAGAAUCUCCUUAUCUCCAGGAGCUGAAGAAUACCUGAAAAAUUCGCUGACGUCUUCCCUAAUUCUGAGUGAGGGAUGCUGCUGGGAAGGGUGCCUGCCGCCACAGCCAGCUGGGUCCCCACCCCGCCAGCCACUGAGCUCGCUUGGGAGCUCAGGCCUCACACGAUGCUGGUGCUCGGUGACCUCCCACUUGGAACGUGGCAGGAGGAAGAGUUCAGAGGGAGGGCAGAGUGGCCAAACGGGAACAUUAGGAGAGCCAGCCCCUGCGCCCACUCCUUCCAUCCCUCAGCGCACCCUCAUGUGUCACUAACAAGUCUCCCUCCCACUAACACGAGCUGUGAGUUAUGGUUUUCAGGCUGCUGCAUAGAUUUUUGAACAUUUCAGUAAAAUCGGAAGAUCAAAGUGUAUCUUUAUUUAGCCACCAAGUUGUAAUUCCACGAGGGCAUUUUAAUUAGAAUGUGGCAAAAGCAAACUCACACUGAGUUUAUGUCAAUUAUUCAACAGUCCUGGCUUAUGUCAGGGGUUCUCACUCUGUCAAGUGGGUCCGAAUCCUCUGGAAGGCUUGUGAAAAAACAGAGUCCUGGAGUUUCUGAUGCACUGGGUCUGGGGCAGGCUGGAGAAUUUGCACUUCUAACAAGUUCCCAGAUGAGGCUGAUUCUGCUGGUCCAGGAACCCCACAUUGAGAACCACCACUCUGGACAAUGACUAUGUCCAUAGUCCUGUCUUGCAUGAAAUGGAUGUUGACUGACAGCCGGGACUCCUUUCAACAACCCCAGGUGAACCCACAGAAAAGAACUCCUUGGGUGAGGUUCUCACUGCUCCCAGACCAAGUUAAAGUUCUAUGUCCAUGGUUCUCAAGCUUGAAUGGACAGUGGGAUCAGCUGGGGAACUUUUAAAAAUAUGGAUACGUGGGUGUCACACCCAUGGACUGUGAUUCAGCAGUCUGGGUCUGGGGUCUGGUCUGUGUCUGUUAGGAGCUCCCCAGGGGAGUCCAGUCACAGCCUGAAUGGCAAAGCCCUGGUUCUGAAGCCGUGGUCCUCCCAGGUGUGCGCCCGACCAGCUGUAUCAUCUGGGGCAGGGGCUAGAGAAGUAGACUCUUAAGUCCCAGUCUGCAGCCACUGAGUCAGAUCCUGAGAGGGGCCUCGCCUUCUGUA